CUCCUACGGGAGGCAGCAGUGGGGAAUUUUCGACAAUGGGGGAAACCCUGAUCGGGCCAUCCCGCGUGUGGGACGAAGGCCUUCGGGUUGUAAACCACUUUUCUCAACGAAGAAAAGUCUUAGGCUAAUACCUUAAGACGCUGACGGUAGUUGAGGAAUAAGCACCGGCUAACUAUGUGCCAGCAGCCGCGGUAAUA
rnacentral:rRNA from 1 species